rnacentral:lncRNA from 1 species
UGUGGGUUUCUCCCUCCUCUUUCUCUCCAUCUCCUCUGGCUCCCCUAACCCAUCUCCCCCAGUCAGGCCCUCCAAAAACCUCCUCCCUUUCCCACAAACACUCCUCAAACUCAUUGGCUUAAAAAUAAACAAGAGUUGAGACUUGCUGGUAACCAAGGCCUUGACUGAGAGGAGGGAAGAGUCAAGGCUCUGUAACACUUAGUCUUCAAUUUCUUAAAUUUUUUUUGACUCAAUUUUCUCUGGGAUAUGUUUUUUGAUUCUGUAGAUUAAAACAUUUUAUUUUUCAAAAGUUUCCCUAAUGUAUUUAGAUAUAUACAAAUAUAAACAUAUUUUAACUGUUUCAUCUCGGAGAUAACAAUUAGGCAUAUGUUGGAUCUCUUGGUUUGUCUUUCUUAUCUUUCAUUUUCUCUCUGGCUCUUUUAAACCUUUGCUUAUUCUAACUUUAUUUUGAUUGAUUGUCUGAUAGAUUUCCCAUCUAGCUCACCAUGUCUUGCUUUCCUUUUCUGCAUCCAUGGAAGACACCCACUCCCCACCUCUCCCUGCUGUCCCCAACAACGGAGGUUCAUUUGACUCUGUGAGUAUGCCAUUUCAACUACAGAGAUAUAUUAAGUAUCAACAGCAUUUUUAAUGUUUCAAUGUGAAUAGCAUCAUACGCAAAAGUGAGUCUGUGGCCAUGUGUAAAGAACUGCUUGUGAGUACCUUAUCCAAUAUUUAACACAGAAAUUACAUAACCUUCCUUCAAUAUCAUUUUACCCCUUUGUUCUUUGGUAAGUUAAAGUUUGCUUAGUUUGUUUAUCUAGCAUCAGCAUAUGUGAUUUCUCCAUGUCGUAUUUGAUUCGGGCUUAUUGCAUUAGCCUCGACCCUUGGAUGGAAAAUGAUUUCUGUAAUUUGCUUACCUGAAGAGCUUGGA